rnacentral:ncRNA from 1 species
AAAGCGGAACCCGAAAAGCUAUAACAGAGUAGGGA